CGCGGGAUGGAGCAGUCUGGUAGCUCGUCGGGCUCAUAACCCGAAGAUCGUUGGUUCAAAUCCAGCUCCCGCAA
rnacentral:tRNA from 1 species